rnacentral:rRNA from 1 species
GCCUAACACAUGCAAGUCGAACGGCAGCACAGCAGUAGCAAUACUGUGGGUGGCGAGUGGCGGACGGGUGAGUAAUACAUCGGAACAUGCCCAGUCGUGGGGGAUAACACUUCGAAAGAAGUGCUAGUACCGCAUACGUCCUGAGGGAGAAAGCGGGGGAUCGCAAGACCUCGCGCGAUUGGAGUGGCCGAUGUCAGAUUAGCUAGUUGGUGGGGUAAAGGCCUACCAAGGCAACGAUCUGUAGCUGGUCUGAGAGGAUGAUCAGCCACACUGGGACUGAGACACGGCCCAGACUCCUACGGGAGGCAGCAGUGGGGAAUUUUGGACAAUGGGGGCAACCCUGAUCCAGCCAUUCCGCGUGAGUGAAGAAGGCCUUCGGGUUGUAAAGCUCUUUCGGCAGGAACGAAACGGUGAGCUCUAACAUAGCUUGCUAAUGACGGUACCUGAAGAAGAAGCACCGGCUAACUACGUGCCAGCAGCCGCGGUAAUACGUAGGGUGCGAGCGUUAAUCGGAAUUACUGGGCGUAAAGCGUGCGCAGGCGGUUGUGUAAGACAGGUGUGAAAUCCCCGGGCUUAACCUGGGAACUGCGCUUGUGACUGCACAGCUAGAGUAUGGCAGAGGGGGGUGGAAUUCCACGUGUAGCAGUGAAAUGCGUAGAGAUGUGGAGGAACACCGAUGGCGAAGGCAGCCCCCUGGGCCAAUACUGACGCUCAUGCACGA